UACAAAUAUAAAUAUAUGCAUGUGCAGUGUGGAUAUGUAUAUACAAUACAAACAUAUAUACACAAAGUAAUAGAGCAGAUAUGUCUGAAAAAAUUUUUAAAAAAUAAAAUUUACAUUGCAAAUGUAUGUAAGAUUUUUGACACGAGAAAUGGUGGAAAUAUGAAGUAUUUAUGCUAUUGCACUUUAGAGUUUUUAUAUUAACUUAAACAGAGAAGCACAAUUUGAUUCUGAAUCCCCUUCAAAUCCCCCUUCAUAUUGUAGUUAGUACCAGUACUCCUGUUGGCUCUAAUCAUUAUUAACCAACUAGACACGGCAUGCAAAUAAUUUAGUUUAAUAGCAUUCCCCCUCCCAGCAAAUAUAGGGCCCUACUGUUCAAAACUAGACUUGUGCAGUUCUAUAUUGAUCACAUACUUUGACCCUCUUAAGCUUCCAUAGUGUAAGUAAUCAGGAUUUUAUCAUCUGGGUGGAACUCACUGUGUUGCUAAGUGAAUUGAAAUGACAUUGAUUACUGGUUCAAUCAUGAAUGGACACCAAGAGCAUCUCGAAGACGACCUCUACCAGGAGUAGGCAACAUUCGGCACUCUAGAUAUUGUGAACUUCAUAUCCAAGAAUGCUCUUACAGGAAUAAUGCUGACAACGCAUUAAGGUAGAUGUAGUCUACAACAUUUAGUGUGCCGAAGGUUGCCUAUCCAUGACCUAUACUGUUAUAAUGUAAGGUCUAGUGUGUAUUUGAUGGCGAGUGUUUUUUGGAUGAUUUCACUCAUACUGUGUUAAUUUAAAAUAAAACUUCCAUCUGUAAAUGGUUUCUUGGCAGGGGACAAAUGUUACCAGGCUCAUGGUCCUAUGUGGCCAUCAUGACGACCAUGCCUAAGAAACACUGACCUUGUCCAUGAGAGUCAACUUUUCUCUCCAGUUGCAUUUGGAUAGCAAAAGCUGGCCUUAUAGGGAGAGUAACUUGUUGUCGGAACUGAUAAAUAAACGUUGUUGACUACAAUGACUAAAUAUUUACUUCUUCGGAGGAAAAGGGUAACGUAAAUGGAUUAACAGUUCGAAUUCUGUCUGACACAUAAUACUAAUUAAACUGAGCAUAGGAAAGACAAAACAAGUAAUCAAGACUGCUCCUUCAUACAAAAAAAGUUCAACGUCAUCUUCUGUCUAUUGUCUCUUAUUUGUUCCUGACACUGAAGAUGCUGCUAAUCUGUUUAUCUGAAAAUAUGGUGCACUUUUUGAAUAGAUAACAUUUGCUAUUGCACUCUGCUUAUAAUAGUCAGAAGACAAACACAUACAACACAAACUGCUUGUUUUGAAAUAUCUGAUAACUAGAGCUACCAAUAUAUGUUUUUUGUAUUGAUCCUAUAUAUUGCACCAUCAGACAGUUAUUUUUAUGAAUGUGUGCUUUUUCUCAUGCAAGCAUGAAUAGAUAAUGUAUAGAUAUUCUGUAUCCGUAAUACAUAUAAAACUAUGUACAUAUAUGACCUAUGCAUCAAUACAAUUCUGACUCAUAGACAUAUCAAAGGAAAUUGUCCAGAAAUGUUUUUAUGUUUUAUGUUUUGUUUUUUGUUUUCAAUAAUUUUAAUGAGAAAAAAAUAUGUUUUAG
rnacentral:lncRNA from 1 species